GGAUAGCAGCACUGUAUAUCGUACUUAAAACACUGCUGUUGAAUUUCAUUGUGGAUUUACUUGAGACAGUCCAAUAGUGAAGGAUUCCUGUAUUGACACUACUGAUAACAAAAGCUCGCUUAUAUCUGGACAGUCACAGUUUCGUUGACAAACCAGGUGUAAGACAAGGUGACGAGCCUGGAGUAGUAGUCUGGGGCUAAGGUUGAUUGACUGGAACACGUCAGUGGUAUGGUAUUAUUGACCUCAACGUCAAGGUCUCCUGUGAUUCUAGGCCUCGAAGUUGCAUUAAUGCAUAACAAAGAGACAACUCACUGUGUACAAUCAGUACGACACCUCCACCUGACCAUGCAGCUCCAGCCCACGAUCCACCAUUGUAAUAUCCAGCGUCAUCCAGAGUUAUGUCUCUUAUC